rnacentral:rRNA from 1 species
GGCUACGGAUGGUCAUGCGUCGCAUUAGCUAGUUGGCGGGGUAACGGCCCACCAAGGCGACGAUGCGUAGGGGUUCUGAGAGGAAGGUCCCCCACACUGGUACUGAGACACGGACCAGACUCCUACGGGAGGCAGCAGUGAGGAAUAUUGGUCAAUGGCCGCAGGGCUGAACCAGCCAAGUCGCGUGAGGGAUGACGGUCCUAUGGAUUGUAAACCUCUUUUGUCAGGGAGCAAAGGACGCCACGUGUGGCGUUUUGCGAGUACCUGAAGAAAAAGCAUCGGCUAACUCCGUGCCAGCAGCCGCGGUAAUACGGAGGAUGCGAGCGUUAUCCGGAUUUAUUGGGUUUAAAGGGUGCGCAGGCGGAAUGUCAAGUCAGCGGUAAAAUUUCGGGGCUCAACCCCGUCGUGCCGUUGAAACUGGCGUUCUUGAGUGAGCGAGAAGUAUGCGGAAUGCGUGGUGUAGCGGUGAAAUGCAUAGAUAUCACGCAGAACUCCGAUUGCGAAGGCAGCAUACCGGCGCUCAACUGACGCUCAUGCACGAAAGCGUGGGUAUCGAACAGGAUUAGAUACCCUGGUAGUCCACGCAGUAAACGAUGAAUACUAACUGUCCGGGCCGAUUGAGGUCUGG